AUUUAAGUUUAAUAGUGAAAGACUGG
rnacentral:piRNA from 1 species